rnacentral:rRNA from 1 species
UGUAUAAUGGGUCAGCGACUUAUAUUCUGUAGCAAGGUUAACCGAAUAGGGGAGCCGAAGGGAAACCGAGUCUUAACUGGGCGUUAAGUUGCAGGGUAUAGACCCGAAACCCGGUGAUCUAGCCAUGGGCAGGUUGAAGGUUGGGUAACACUAACUGGAGGACCGAACCGACUAAUGUUGAAAAAUUAGCGGAUGACUUGUGGCUGGGGGUGAAAGGCCAAUCAAACCGGGAGAUAGCUGGUUCUCCCCGAAAGCUAUUUAGGUAGCGCCUCGUGAAUUCAUCUCCGGGGGUAGAGCACUGUUUCGGCAAGGGGGUCAUCCCGACUUACCAACCCGAUGCAAACUGCGAAUACCGGAGAAUGUUAUCACGGGAGACACACGGCGGGUGCUAACGUCCGUCGUGAAGAGGGAAACAACCCAGACCGCCAGCUAAGGUCCCAAAGUCAUGGUUAAGUGGGAAACGAUGUGGGAAGGCCCAGACAGCCAGGAUGUUGGCUUAGAAGCAGCCAUCAUUUAAAGAAAGCGUAAUAGCUCACUGGUCGAGUCGGCCUGCGCGGAAGAUGUAACGGGGCUAAACCAUGCACCGAAGCUGCGGCAGCGACGCUUAUGCGUUGUUGGGUAGGGGAGCGUUCUGUAAGCCUGUGAAGGUGGCCUGUGAGGGUUGCUGGAGGUAUCAGAAGUGCGAAUGCUGACAUAAGUAACGAUAAAGCGGGUGAAAAGCCCGCUCGCCGGAAGACCAAGGGUUCCUGUCCAACGUUAAUCGGGGCAGGGUGAGUCGACCCCUAAGGCGAGGCCGAAAGGCGUAGUCGAUGGGAAACAGGUUAAUAUUCCUGUACUUGGUGUUACUGCGAAGGGGGGACGGAGAAGGCUAUGUUGGCCGGGCGACGGUUGUCCCGGUUUAAGCGUGUAGGCUGGUUUUCCAGGCAAAUCCGGAAAACCAAGGCUGAGGCGUGAUGACGAGGCACUACGGUGCUGAAGCGACAAAUGCCCUGCUUCCAGGAAAAGCCUCUAAGCAUCAGGUAACAUCAAAUCGUACCCCAAACCGACACAGGUGGUCAGGUAGAGAAUACCAAGGCGCUUGAGAGAACUCGGGUGAAGGAACUAGGCAAAAUGGUGCCGUAACUUCGGGAGAAGGCACGCUGAUAUGUAGGUGAAGCGACUUGCUCGUGGAGCUGAAAUCAGUCGAAGAUACCAGCUGGCUGCAACUGUUUAUUAAAAACACAGCACUGUGCAAACACGAAAGUGGACGUAUACGGUGUGACGCCUGCCCGGUGCCGGAAG